UCUCCGUAGGUGAACCUGCGGAGGGAUCAUUACCAAAGAUGGUGGGCCUUCGGGUCCCCGUCCCCAACCCUUUGUUGACCAAAACCUUUUUGCCUCGGGGGCAGAGCGUCCGCCGCCCCCGGAGGACCACCGAGCGCUGUCUCUUUACGUCGGAGUAUUGAUUUAAAUAAAUGAAAACUUUUAACAACGGAUCUCUUGGUUCUG
rnacentral:misc_RNA from 1 species